UACCUUUUGCCCCUCGGAGCACAAACCCGAAGCCCUCAUUGUCCUUCUUCUGUAGGACCACUGUCUUCUCCUCGAUGAUGCAGUCACUGUAGAGAGAAUUCCGGGGAUAGCGACCAUUAUUGUAACCCGUCAUCAUCACGGUGGCUGCUCCUCCGCCGGGGACGUUCAUCAUCAUAGCCAAUUAAUCACCCAGCUCCCGGAUCGGAUCCCGGCAGCAUGGAGGAGCCUGGGCGGCAGCGAGGUGCAGGCGGAGCUGGGGGGGCUAACGGGAUAGGCGAGCGGGGCACAAUGGGAUGUGGAAGGGGGGGGCGGGCGGCGCAGGAGCCAGCCGGGGGAAGGAGGCAGGCAUGCUGGAGAGGCUGCCGGGCUGCUGAGCGGCAGCUCAAGGCACCCGGGGGCCGGCCAGGACGCCGCCGCUGAGAGCAAAGAAAACACCCUGCUGCCAAAGCCAAGGGAAGCAUGCUGGUCUCCUGCACGCCCUUCUGCUGGGAGCUGCAGAGGCCAGCAGCCCAAGACCCUUGAAGGAUGAGAGCCCACCCAAGACACCAAGCCCACUGCCCCGUGCUCUGCUUGGAACUGGGUGACAUCUGGAUCCGGGACAGGGAUAUAUUCUCAGCACACGUCACCUGUUUGAUUUAAAGGUACUCAGACACUAUCCUCCCACACAGCCUAUGCUACUCCCUGGCAGCUGUCCCCUCAACACGCACUUCUUCAGGCCAGUGGGAUUGCCCAGCAUGUGGUGUAGGUGCCAGCCUGGGCCCCGAAGAGCUUGGUUCAAAGCCCAGCUGUGCUCUGUCCCAAAGGUCACCAUGAACUUCAAACUUGAGAUGCCUGCUCUGCAAAAUGAGAGUAACCAUAGUCCAGGCCAGGAGUGCACAAAGUGAUCCCCCAACUCAUGCCCUAAAGUCACCUCUGCAGCAUGUGUGAAUCAAAUCAGAGAUGACAUGCAGGACCAGCAUAUGCCAACCCCUCAUCAUGAUGUGUCUUCUUGUGGGGACAUCACCCAUCUCUCUGCCACCCAGGCCAAAGCCUGCCUGGUCAUUCCUGACCUGUCCUGGGAACCUUUUAGCCCCACCUGUGACUGCUAUCCUGCCUGCACUGGGAUAGCUCUGUCCUCUGUGUCAGUGAAGAGCCAGGUCCUCAGGCUCUGACACCAGGAAGAACCGUCCCUAUCCUUCUAUCCUUACACCAUUUCGGAUCCUGAAGAGCCCGCCCCAACUGUCAUGACCUCCAUUCCCUGUGUUCACAGAUGCACCUUGGGUUUGGAUGGACCUUCAGCUGUUCAUCAGCUGGGCUGAUCAGAGCCUCAGUUUCCCCCCACAAGGAGGAUGAAAGUCUAGAAGGAGCCAAUGAGUCAACACUCAGAAGCACCCCCUUGACAGGCCUUGGAACUUUGUCACAGGGGAGCUGUGGUCCUUAGCACACACACCAUGGAUUCUUCUGCGCUGUCAUCCAGAAGCAAAUGUCCCUGUCUCCAAGGGACCUGAGCUCAUGCAGGUACUGAUCUUGCCUUGUGAUUCACCCCCAAAUUCCCCCACAGACAAAGUGGAAUGGUACAGACCCAAGGUAUAGAUUGAGCACAUCACAGGACAAGUGAGUGACCGUGACCAAGGACCACUGUAGGACUUCCAGGAGAGGAAGACUGGGAUGGCCCUCAGGUCUUAGUGGAAGCCAGAUGGCAGGUUUUAUGAAGCACAGAGGAGUGCCCACUGCAUGCGGCAGGCUAGGCCCAGGAAGCCAGAGAGGAGAGAGGAUGCGGCCCAGGUCCUCAGCACAUGCCUGGACUUUUGCACAAGUCCUUGAGCCAGAGGCCACCCUGUAGCUGGGGACUCUCCAGAUGUGGUCCAAACUCUGUGUCACUGGGCCACAUCAGCGGCACCUGCCACCCCACAUGCUGUCCCGGGGAGCCUCACUCACUCCUCUUCUGGGGCCCUUCUUCCCCACCUAUGAAUGACCCCGUGUCUGAAGCAGUCACAGCGAACAUCUGGGAAACAAAAAUCAUGGCAACUCUUCUGUGAAUCACGUGAUACAACAUCUACCUGCAGCUGUGGGCUGAACAAAAGCAUGAGCCAGCAGUGCCUUCUUCAAAUGUUUCUGAGUAGGGUGGGGGACUCUAACAAACACACCUGCCUGUGUCAACUUCUGGAGCUGUGGAAAGGGAAGGGGUGGGCACCCAGUAAUGCUCGGUAUAGCUGCACAGCUUGUAUGCAGUGUAGCUACAGAGAACAUGACCCACAGCUAGGCCACUGUACUUUAUCAUGGUCCUGUGGGCACAGAUGGACAGAAAGCAUCUUGAGGGAAGGGCAGAUCCUUUUUCCUAGUCACAGUAAUAUGGGAAAGAGGCCAUCAGCCACCAUGGAGAACAAAGAGGUGUCCACACAGGAGACACACCCUACCUUGCCGACAGCUACACAUGGAAAGUCCCUUGGGAGCCACAGAUAGAGCCCACUAGCAGUGUCCACCCUCCAUCCAACAGUCCCACUUCCUGCCCCUGGAAAGAGCUGACUGAAUACACCCAGAGCAACUAGCAACCUGGAGUCGGACAGCUGACUUUUGGGGACUCAGGGUUGCCCUUGCAGUGGCCCUGGAGUCCACACCCCUGUGGCAUGCCUGGAGGUGCUCCUGGUGUCCCCCUGGUUGUCCUGUAAGGGGGCCAGUCUGGCCCUCAUGGGGAAGAUGCUGAGCAGUGUGGGUUGAACAGUGGCCAGGUCCUCAGCCCUGCUCUCUGUGACUGCAACCUUGCUGAGCAGGACAUGGUAUCUGUAGGGUAGUUAAGGAUCUUCAGAGGAGAGAUCACCCUGCAUUUAGGGAGGACCCUGUAAUCAUCUGUGACUUGUCCUGAUAAGGCAGAGGCAGAGGGAGGUUGAGACAGAGAGGGAAGUGACAUGACCACAAGUCGGGAUCACCUAGCUCCACAGGCGCUGGCCCAACACUCAGGAGGCAGAGAACGUCCCCCCGCCCUGCUGUCCCCGAGAGGGAGGGGCCUGGUCUCCCUCUGACCUCAGACUUCCGGCUGUGGGCUGUGAAAGGGCUGGCUUAACUGUUGCAAAGUCCCAUUUGUGAUUUGUCACAGGAGCCAGAGAAACUCAUACCCAGGCUGGGUGGGGAGAGAAACACACAGAACAAAUUAAAAGGACGCAGUGUUAGAGGACCAUAGCCUGGGAGGCUUUCCGGGGGUGGGGGUGGGGGUGCAGGUAUCCCUAGGAGUACGUGGACUGGGGACUGGGGUGGGACAAGGGAAGGAUGGCAGUGCAGCCAACAGGGAGCAGCCACGAUGUGCAGAGGUGGUGGGCUGACCGCACAGCCACCUGCACACCAGGGAGGACCAUGGGGACCUGGCUGGGCAGCGAGAUAUGUACAUGCAGGCAUCAGCACACCCGUGAUGGCUCUGUCUGGUUCCUGGGAAGACAGAGGAUAAGAAGACAGCCAGCUCACGGGGCCAAAGAGGACACAAAGGCAAUUGUCCCACUUCCUCUCUAGACAUUUCCCACUGAGGUCUGAGCCCUGGGUCACGGCCCGGGGCUGACUUGCUAGGAAGCUGGCCCAACACUCAUGCUUCCAUCUAAAGGACUCAAGGUGGCCCCUUCCCCUGGACCACAACUCUGCAGCUGCUGCUGGGGGCCCACUCAUGUUCCCAACAGGCUGCAUUUGCUCUCAAGGGGUAAGAAUGGCCUGUAGGUGAGGCAGGCUAUAUCUAUGGCUUAGAAAACAGAAUCCACCAGCUCUAAAAUCUAAAGAACAAUAACACAAGGCAGCAUCUGAAGAAGUGUCUAUGGGGUUCUGCACAGGGCGGCACCACCCUUGUUAAGCUGAGUCUCUGUAAAUAUUAUUCCAAUCGCGUGUGAAAAUCACUUGUAAGUCCCGGAUCUCCCACUGGAAGAUUCCUUCAACAGAUCAAUGGCUGCUCAGACACAACGGCUGCCGUAAACUGCUCGCAGGCAGGGUUCAAAGGCGAAGGCAUCCAAACCAUGUCUGGAGGUUUUUUUUUAAUGGCAAAGAGGUAUGUUCAUUACGGCCCACAUGGAUAUGGCCUGGCUAUUGCCCAGCUAUGUUGAAUACUACCUGAUCUGGACUGAUGCUGCUAGAAGUCAGGGUGCAAGUCCCACAGAGACAGGGCCAUGAUAACUGGGGAGAGCCAGGGAGGACUCCCUGUGUGUGGUGCAUUUGUAGUUCCUGAAAGUACCGCCCCUGAGCAGGUGGUGAGACCCACGUCCCUCAGGGCAGGGAGCAGAAGCCGGGGAACAGCUCCCUAAAUCACUCUCCUGAAACCACCUCUCAGUGGCAGGAACUAGAGCACUAUUAGAAAGAGGAGUCCCCAGGGAGCUGCGGUAGCAGGGAUGUCCUAGAAACUUUCGGGCUCUGCCAAUCAGGAAGAUGAGGCUGAGCAGAGAGCUGUCAACUCUCCGGCAGGGGGUUGGGGUGCCGGGGUGGGGGAUCAACAAGUGCCCAGCUUGGCAGAGAUGUGCCAGCUUGGGCCCUUUGGCUGCCAUGUGCGGGCGGCUGGCCCAGCUCACUGUGGCAGAGGCAGCUGCCAGGUGGCACAGAGGGCUGCUCCAUGGGUGGGGAGGGUGGCCUUGUCCUUGGAAGGCCUGGCAGGCUGCUGGUGGACAGGAGGGGUUCCCCAGUCAUGUGUCACCUUGGCCACACACGCUGCUGCUCCAGCAGCCUGCUUCCUGCUUCCUGGUGGGACAUUACUUGGUUUUGUCCCCAUCCUCUGUCAUGACACACAGGGAAAUUAAACCCCACACCUGGCCCAUCAUGCUCAGAGUGCUGCCCCAGCGAGGCUGCUCCUGGCAGUGUAUGUUGUCUGUCCACCUGUGGGAGGUCACAAAUGUGGGCUGGCCACUCAUGGGCGAAGCUGCUGUUGGCUGCCGGGAACCACCCUUGCUGGACAAACAAAAGAGGCGUCUUCCACACCAGAGGAUGACGGGCUUGACCCACAUGGCCCGCGUACGCCCACCCCGUGGAGAUGUGCGCUUGAAGAAGCUGUUUCUCAAAUCGGCAAUUAUGAAAACACCCCACCCAGUGGUUAUUACGACCAUUUUCCUCCUCAUUGCUAACGUGAUAAGCGAUACGAGUUUUUCCUAAUAGAAACAAUAAUGUGAGAAGAACUUGCUUCAAAUUAAAUUGUCUCAUUACUCUGUAAUAAAUCACCCACAAGUGUUUCCUGAGCGCCACCAGAUGGGUUACCUGCCAAGAGAGAGUGGCGGAGGAGACAAACGCAGACCUGACAUGCACGCCUUGCAGGAAUCGAGGAGAUGGGGCCGCCCGCAGAGACCAGGGUGGGCGUGGGCUUGGAGGGAAUUGGCCACUUUGGCCCCUGCAGGCCCAGGGGUGGGUCUCACUUUCCCAAACCAGUCUGUGACCCUGGCCGAGUCACAGAACCUUGCUUGGGAUCAACACUCUCACCUGCAGAUGAGGAGCCGGGGCGGCCCUGACCCAGCCCCUGGACCCAGCCUGAGGACAGCAUAUGUGAGAGGCCCUGGCCCAGGAUCUGGCCCCAGGAAAGCACCCCUUCACUGCACACCGUACACUGUGAACCCGGCUCCCUGGGGGAUGUGGGAUGUGGAUGUGUGACUGGGAGCAUCCCAGGUGCCCUUCCUUACAAGGCGACAUCUGGCAUGCAUAUUUUGUGCAGCAGGACACCCGUGUGGGUCACAUUGCAAGAACGAGGCGAUCCCUAUGUUGUGUGGCAGAAGGGAGCAGAAGCGAGGCGGAGAGAGGCUGGGAGGGAGCGGGGCCUGGAGGCCUCAUAGCUUCCCCAGCUUGAGGGCUGGAGAUCCUGCCUGGGUGCCCUCCGAGGAGCCACUGCUGGAGUGAGCAACAGCUGGAAGGUGUCACAGAGGGGCGGAGAGCUCAGCUCUGCAGGGCAAAGGUCUGUGCUCAUGGAAGCAGGACACAGACCACCCAGGUGUGCCCCUACUGUGGAACUGGUGCCAAGGUGCAUCCUCCUCCCCACAGCCACGGGGGCCACUAGCAGCAGUGCCUGGACAGAGCUGGCAUUCUCGCCAUCACUGCCCCAACAUCUUUCACCUGGGGACCACAAAGCCUGCGAUGAGUCUUCCCUGAAUUCAUGCUAUCAUUUCAAACUUUAAAUCAGAUUGGAUCUCCCCUGAUUAAAAUAGUACAACAAA